rnacentral:pre_miRNA from 1 species
AUUAUACUCCCUCCGUCCGAAAAUACUUGUCAUCAAAAUGGAUAAAAAGAGAUGUAUCUAGAACUAAAAUAUGUCUAGAUACAUUAUUCAUUUUGAUGACAAGUAUUUCCGGACGGAGGGAGUAUAUC